rnacentral:ncRNA from 1 species
AAAGAAUUUGGUUCUAGUUUUUAUUGUUGAGAGGUUAGAAACUUAUACAUGUUAGCUAUUAAGUGUUCCGGUGAGGACCCGAGAGAAUUUAAAAAAUAAUUAAAUAUAUUUUUGUUUUGAGUCGGAUGUAUUACUAUUAUUAAUAAAGUAAAAUUACUAUUAAGUAUCGUCACAUCUGCAGUAAUAAAUAUUUAACCCUGCCUGUAAGGGUGAUUAAAUUAAAUAAUUUGGGGACUGGCGAAGAUACCGUGCCAGCAGCCGCGGUUAAACGGACAGUUUUCUCAAUAUAAUAGGUAGCUUAAUACAGAUAUUCUUUAUAAAAAGAUGAUAAGAUAAGAUUUUAAUGUGAAAUUUAGAUUUUUUUGAGUAUAUUAUAUUAAUGAAGAAACUGUUAAGAUAAGGGUAGAAACCUGGUUUUGAUAUCCAGUUAUUCCUUAGAGGGAAAGUUAAUGCUGGUAGAGUAUUAAGGAAAUCUUUGAGAAACAAAGAACUUGGCGGUGAUUUAAUUCUAAUCAGGGGAGUUUGUCCAAAUAAAAUGAUGAUCCACAUUACACCUGACCCCUUUUGUUUGUUCAGCCUCUAUAUCAUCGUCAUUAAGUCUUCAUUGUAAAUUAGAAGACUAAAGUUCUUAAAAAGGAGAGAUGUCAGAUCGAGAUGGAGCCUAUAAAGGGGGGCGGAUGAACUACAAUAAAAUUUAUUUAUUACGUGUAGUUAUGAAUUCUUUUUUGAAACAAAUUGUUGAAAUAGGACUUGAUAGUAAUAGGCUAUAAGAAAGGGGCUAUGAAUUGAGCUCUAAAUUGCGUACACAUCGCCCGUCACCUGCGGGGAUAAACCUGGAGUAAGUCGUAACAUAGUAGGCGUACCGGAAGGUGCGGCCUGGUCAAUU